rnacentral:rRNA from 1 species
AACGGACGCUGGCGGCGCGUCUUACGCAUGCAAGUCGAACGGCAAGAGAGGAGCUUGCUUCUCUCCUAGAGUGGCGGACUGGUGAGGAACACGUGGGUAAUCUACCCUUAAGAUGGGGAUAGCUGCUAGAAAUAGCAGGUAAUACCGAAUACACUCGGCAUAUCACAAGAGGUGUUGAGGAAAGGAAGCUACGGCUUCGCUUGAGGAUGAGCUUGCGUCCCAUUAGCUAGUUGGUGAGGUAAAGGCCCACCAAGGCGACGAUGGGUAUCCGGCCUGAGAGGGUGAACGGACACAUUGGGACUGAGAUACGGCCCAAACUCCUACGGGAGGCAGCAGCUAAGAAUAUUCCGCAAUGGACGGAAGUCUGACGGAGCGACGCCGCGUGGAUGAAGAAGGCUGAAAAGUUGUAAAAUCCUUUUGUUGAUGAAGAAUAAGGGUGAGAGGGAAUGCUCAUCUGAUGACGGUAAUCGACGAAUAAGCCCCGGCUAAUUACGUG